UACGAGGGGGGCGAGCGUUGUUCGGAAUUAUUGGGCGUAAAGGGUGCGUAGGCGGUUCCGCAAGUCCUGUGUGAAAUCUUCGGGCUCAACCCAAAGCCUGCACAAGAAACUGCUGGGCUUGAGUAUGGGAGAGGUGAGUGGAAUUUCCGGUGUAGCGGUGAAAUGCGUAGAUAUCGGAAGGAACACCUGUGGCGAAAGCGGCUCACUGGACCAUUACUGACGCUGAGGCACGAAAGCUAGGGGAGCAAACAGG
rnacentral:rRNA from 1 species